rnacentral:rRNA from 1 species
GCAAACUAGCACCGUAAGUUCGCGAUAAGGUGUGCCACAGCGAUGUGGUCUCAGCAAAGAGUCCCUCCCGACUGUUUACCAAAAACACAGCACUUUGCCAACUCGUAAGAGGAAGUAUAAGGUGUGACGCCUGCCCGGUGCUCGAAGGUUAAGAGGAUGCGUCAGUCGCAAGAUGAAGCGUUGAAUUGAAGCCCGAGUAAACGGCGGCCGUAACUAUAACGGUCCUAAGGUAGCGAAAUUCCUUGUCGGUUAAAUACCGACCUGCAUGAAUGGCGUAACGAGAUGGGAGCUGUCUCAACCAGAGAUUCAGUGAAAUUGUAGUGGAGGUGAAAAUUCCUCCUACCCGCGGCAAGACGGAAAGACCCCGUGGACCUUUACUACAACUUAGCACUGCUAAUGGGAAUAUCAUGCGCAGGAUAGGUGGGAGGCUUUGAAGUAAGGGCUUUGGCUCUUAUGGAGCCAUCCUUGAGAUACCACCCUUGAUGUUUCUGUUAGCUAACUGGCCUGUGUCAUCCACAGGCAGGACAAUGCUUGGUGGGUAGUUUGACUGGGGCGGUCGCCUCCUAAAAAGUAACGGAGGCUUGCAAAGGUUGGCUCAUUGCGGUUGGAAAUCGCAAGUUGAGUGUAAUGGCACAAGCCAGCCUG